rnacentral:rRNA from 2 species
AGAGUUUGAUCCUGGCUCAGAGUGAACGCUGGCGGCGUGCCUAAUACAUGCAAGUCGAACGAUGAAAUUUCUAGCUUGCUAGAAGUGGAUUAGUGGCGCACGGGUGAGUAACGCAUAGGUUAUGUGCCUCUUAGUUUGGGAUAGCCAUUGGAAACGAUGAUUAAUACCAGAUACUCCCUACGGGGGAAAGAUUUAUCGCUAAGAGAUCAGCCUAUGUCCUAUCAGCUUGUUGGUAAGGUAAUGGCUUACCAAGGCUAUGACGGGUAUCCGGCCUGAGAGGGUGAACGGACACACUGGAACUGAGACACGGUCCAGACUCCUACGGGAGGCAGCAGUAGGGAAUAUUGCUCAAUGGGGGAAACCCUGAAGCAGCAACGCCGCGUGGAGGAUGAAGGUUUUAGGAUUGUAAACUCCUUUUGUUAGAGAAGAUAAUGACGGUAUCUAACGAAUAAGCACCGGCUAACUCCGUGCCAGCAGCCGCGGUAAUACGGAGGGUGCAAGCGUUACUCGGAAUCACUGGGCGUAAAGAGCGCGUAGGCGGGAUAGUCAGUCAGGUGUGAAAUCCUAUGGCUUAACCAUAGAACUGCAUUUGAAACUACUAUUCUAGAGUGUGGGAGAGGUAGGUGGAAUUCUUGGUGUAGGGGUAAAAUCCGUAGAGAUCAAGAGGAAUACUCAUUGCGAAGGCGACCUGCUGGAACAUUACUGACGCUGAUUGCGCGAAAGCGUGGGGAGCAAACAGGAUUAGAUACCCUGGUAGUCCACGCCCUAAACGAUGGAUGCUAGUUGUUGGAGGGCUUAGUCUCUCCAGUAAUGCAGCUAACGCAUUAAGCAUCCCGCCUGGGGAGUACGGUCGCAAGAUUAAAACUCAAAGGAAUAGACGGGGACCCGCACAAGCGGUGGAGCAUGUGGUUUAAUUCGAAGAUACACGAAGAACCUUACCUAGGCUUGACAUUGAGAGAAUCCGCUAGAAAUAGUGGAGUGUCUAGCUUGCUAGACCUUGAAAACAGGUGCUGCACGGCUGUCGUCAGCUCGUGUCGUGAGAUGUUGGGUUAAGUCCCGCAACGAGCGCAACCCCCUUUCUUAGUUGCUAACAGGUCAUGCUGAGAACUCUAAGGAUACUGCCUCCGUAAGGAGGAGGAAGGUGGGGACGACGUCAAGUCAUCAUGGCCCUUACGCCUAGGGCUACACACGUGCUACAAUGGGGUGUACAAAGAGAAGCAAUACUGCGAAGUGGAGCCAAUCUUCAAAACACCUCUCAGUUCGGAUUGUAGGCUGCAACUCGCCUGCAUGAAGCUGGAAUCGCUAGUAAUCGCAAAUCAGCCAUGUUGCGGUGAAUACGUUCCCGGGUCUUGUACUCACCGCCCGUCACACCAUGGGAGUUGUGUUUGCCUUAAGUCAGGAUGCUAAACCAGCUACUGCCCACGGCACACACAGCGACUGGGGUGAAGUCGUAACAAGGUAACCGUAGGUGAACCUGCGGUUG